CGUGUAGGCGGUUGGUCCAGUCGGAUGUGAAAGCCUGGGGCUCAGCCCCAGAAGUGCAUCCGAAACUAGCCAGCUAGAGCGCGAUAGAGGAGGGUGGAAUUCCUGGUGUAGCGGUGAAAUGCGUAGAUAUCAGGAGGAACACCGGCGGCGAAGGCGGCCCUCUGGAUCGUUGCUGACGCUGAGACGCGAAAGCGUGGGGAGCAAACAGGAUUAGAUACCCUGGUAGUCCACGCCUUAAACGAUGGGUACUAGGUGUUCGGGGUGUUGACCCCCUGAGUGCCGCAGUUAACGCAUUAAGUACCCCGCCUGGGGACUACGGCCGCAAGGUUAA
rnacentral:rRNA from 1 species